rnacentral:rRNA from 1 species
GAAACGACUGCUAAGACUGGAUAGGAGACAAGAAGACAUCUUCUUGUUUUUAAAAGACCUAGCAAUAGGUAUGCUUAGGGAGGAGCUUGCGUCACAUUAGUUAGUUGGUGGGGUAAAGGCCUACCAAGACUAUGAUGUGUAGCCGGGCUGAGAGGUUGAACGGCCACAUUGGGACUGAGACACGGCCCAAACUCCUACGGGAGGCAGCAGUAGGGAAUUUUCGGCAAUGGAGGAAACUCUGACCGAGCAACGCCGCGUGAACGAUGAAGUAUUUCGGUACGUAAAGUUCUUUUAUUAGGGAAGAAUAAAUGAUGGAAAAAUCAUUCUGACGGUACCUAAUGAAUAAGCCCCGGCUAACUAUGUGCCAGCAGCCGCGGUAAUACAUAGGGGGCAAGCGUUAUCCGGAAUUAUUGGGCGUAAAGGGUGCGUAGGCGGUUAAAUAAGUUUAUGGUCUAAGUGCAAUGCUCAACAUUGUGAUGCUAUAAAAACUGUUUAGCUAGAGUAAGAUAGAGGCAAGUGGAAUUCCAUGUGUAGUGGUAAAAUGCGUAAAUAUAUGGAGGAACACCAGUAGCGAAGGCGGCUUGCUGGGUCUUUACUGACGCUGAGGCACGAAAGCGUGGGGAGCAAACAGGAUUAGAUACCCUGGUAGUCCACGCCGUAAACGAUGAGUACUAAACGUUGGGUAAAACCAGUGUUGAAGUUAACACAUUAAGUACUCCGCCUGAGUAGUACGUACGCAAGUAUGAAACUUAAAGGAAUUGACGGGACUCCGCACAAGCGGUGGAUCAUGUUGUUUAAUUCGAAGGUACCCGAAAAACCUCACCAGGUCUUGACAUGCUUCUGCAAAGCUGUAGAGACACAGCGGAGGUUAUCAGUUGCACAGGUGGUGCAUGGUUGUCGUCAGCUCGUGUCGUGAGAUGUUGGGUUAAGUCCCGCAACGAGCGCAACCCUUAUUGUUAGUUACCAGCACGUAAUGGUGGGGACUUUAGCAAGACUGCCAGUGAUAAAUUGGAGGAAGGUGGGGAUGACGUCAAAUCAUCAUGCCCCUUAUGACCUGGGCUACAAACGUGAUACAAUGGCUGUUACAAAGGGUAGCUGAAGCGCAAGUUUUUGGCGAAUCUCAAAAAAACAGUCUCAGUUCGGAUUGAAGUCUGCAACUCGACUUCAUGAAGUUGGAAUCGCUAGUAAUCGCGAAUCAGCAUGUCGCGGUGAAUACGUUCUCGGGGUUUGUACACACCGCCCGUCA